rnacentral:rRNA from 1 species
ACGGGUGAGUAAUGCCUAGGAAUCUGCCUGGUAGUGGGGGACAACGUCUCGAAAGGGACGCUAAUACCGCAUACGUCCUACGGGAGAAAGUGGGGGAUCUUCGGACCUCACGCUAUCAGAUGAGCCUAGGUCGGAUUAGCUAGUUGGUGAGGUAAUGGCUCACCAAGGCGACGAUCCGUAACUGGUCUGAGAGGAUGAUCAGUCACACUGGAACUGAGACACGGUCCAGACUCCUACGGGAGGCAGCAGUGGGGAAUAUUGGACAAUGGGCGAAAGCCUGAUCCAGCCAUGCCGCGUGUGUGAAGAAGGUCUUCGGAUUGUAAAGCACUUUAAGUUGGGAGGAAGGGUUGUAGAUUAAUACUCUGCAAUUUUGACGUUACCGACAGAAUAAGCACCGGCUAACUCUGUGCCAGCAGCCGCGGUAAUACAGAGGGUGCAAGCGUUAAUCGGAAUUACUGGGCGUAAAGCGCGCGUAGGUGGUUUGUUAAGUUGAAUGUGAAAUCCCCGGGCUCAACCUGGGAACUGCAUCCAAAACUGGCAAGCUAGAGUAGGGCAGAGGGUGGUGGAAUUUCCUGUGUAGCGGUGAA